UGGGAAAGCUCUCUGCUUACCAGUUCCACAGUCUCGUUAGUAAAAACACAUCUGACACCAGUGAUUGUGGCCUGAAAGAUACAGUGAGAAUGGGUGGUGCUUUGAGUUAUUGAUAUGAAUAAACUGUCUUUCUAGUAUUUGGAAUGUAGAGUGGAAUAAGCAGUUUUAUGGACGUUAAUGUACUUCAUGUUUGAGAAGCUGUGAAUGAAAACUCAAGAAUUGUUGCCUGUAUGUUUAAAAAAAAACCAAAACAGUUACUUCUUUAGUCUGCUUUUUUUUUUUUCCCUCCAAGGACACUGUGAGGCUCUUCACAUAAAGCUUAUCCUGAAAGUUUCUCCUUCAUGCUCAAUUUGUUAUGCUUAAACUGGACACUGUGAUAUUUUCAGUGUUUAAAAUGAGACUUACCGGCUGCUGGUUACAGAAAAUGCUGUUGCUCCCAUUUGACAGUGGUUUGAUAGCAAACGAAAUUCACAGGAAUGUGGGAGACAAACACAUCCUUCCCACCAGAGACAUCAAACUGUUUCUAGCAGUGCUGAACUACAGUCAUGCAAUGGAAGAGUCGAGGAUCUCCCAAUAGCUGUUUCUGACAAAAGAGACUAACAUCCCACAGUCAGGACUGCCAACAUUACCAUGGAAACCCCCAAAAAUAAAGACUUUCCCAGCCUUGUGAGAGUACACCUGCAAGAGCAAGAACUGCCUGUCAAAAGCGACCUCUUCACUAUGGGUGUCACCUAAGGACUUUUUGUGUGGACUGGAGCUUCCUGUUGUACACAUGAAAAAGUUUCCGAAAGAGGUCUGGUGUUUGUAAGAAGAAAUCUUCCCAGAAGUACACAGGUACGAUCAACAGGACACUGGUCAUUCCCAUGUGUCCAGCUCACUCCAGCUAUUAACAAAAUCUCUGUCCUACAACAGCAUUGAAGUAACUUUUGCUGAAUUUACCAGCUAGCACUAGCAAAGUUCUGGAUAUCUGCAGUCAAUAAGGUUUUGCUGUCACCAGAGAUGUUUUCCCAACAAAUGCUGAUUCAAAUGUUGUACAUUCCCACUGCUUCAGUUUU